GUGGAAACAACGGUGGGCUUCUUAUUGGGGCUUGCAUUAAUCAGAGACCUAAUCUUUUUGGUUGUGCUCUUGCUCAUGUUGGUGUUAUGGAUAUGCUUAGAUUUCACAAAUUCACUAUAGGUCAUAGAUGGACAUGUGACUUUGGCUGCUCAGAGGAGGAAGA